AUGUGCAGGGGGUAUGUUAAUUUCCAGUCACUGCUAUAAGCUACUAACAUCUCCUUGUACAUGCCAACAUGUGAAGUUCCAAGAAGCCAUUACUCUAGCUGAUGGUAGCAUGAAACUUGUUGAAUCCAUGGAGGGAAUUGUGAAGAGCAGUCAACAGGUUGGAGUUGGAGGUGGCUUUGCUGGAACAUCUUAUUCAUUUUUGCAAAGAAUAGGUGCAAUAAGGGUUGGAUGAUUAGAGAAAUUUUAGCAGUACUUUAAAAUGUAUCAAGCUACCCCUCCGUCUAUAUAAAUUAUAAUGUAAAUGAAUUUAUAAUUUGACUUGGGUAA